CCUGGAUGUUAGACGCUAUUAAGGACCAUGCUAUUUUGUAUUUGUGAGAAUGAUAUUGAAGAAACCUGUUUAUGCACCCUGCUGCAAUCCCACCACCUGCCCAGGCCAAGUGAGCCCCUCUCCGCUACUGGUGUUUCAUAAUGCUGGGAGCUACUUUGAUUUCAUGCAUUGCCCUUCAGCUGCCAUGUUAUGAGGACACUUGGAGAAAGCUACAGGAGAGGAACUGAGGUCUCCUGCCAUCAGCCACUUGAGUGAGCAUGGGAGUGGAUUCUCCAAACUCCAGUUAAGACUUGAGAUGUCCACAGUGGCAGCCACUAGCUUGACUGCAACUUACGAGAGACACUGAGCCAGAGGCACUCAGCUAAGUCAUACACAGUUUCCUGACCCGUAAAACCUGUGACACAAUGAAGGUUUGUUGUUUUGGGGGUAAUCCGUUAUUCAGCAAUAGAUAACGAAUACAGAAGGCUUGUAAUUGUAUAACCAACGUGAGUUUAUAAGCGGAUAUCUGACCUCAUUUGUUUUCUCCUGAAAAAGUUAUAGAAAAAUCACAAGACUG
rnacentral:lncRNA from 1 species